GAUGAACGCUGGCGGCGUGCUUAACACAUGCAAGUCGAACGGAAAGGCCCAAGCUUGCUUGGGUACUCGAGUGGCGAACGGGUGGGUAACACGUGGGUGAUCUGCCCUGCACUUCGGGAUAAGCCUGGGAAACUGGGUCUAAUACCGGAUAGGACCACAUUUUGGAUGGUGUGGUGGAAAGUUUUUCGGUGUGGGAUGAGCUCGCGGCCUAUCAGCUUGUUGGUGGGGUAAUGGCCUACCAAGGCGUCGACGGGUAGCCGGCCUGAGAGGGUGUACGGCCACAUUGGGACUGAGAUACGGCCCAGACUCCUACGGGAGGCAGCAGUGGGGAAGAUUGCACAAUGGGCGCAAGCCUGAUGCAGCGACGCCGCGUGGGGGAUGACGGCCUUCGGGUUGUAAACUCCUUUCGCUAGGGACGAAGCGUUAUGUGACGGUACCUGGAGAAGAAGCACCGGCUAACUACGUG
rnacentral:rRNA from 1 species